rnacentral:rRNA from 1 species
AAAACUUUCAACAACGGAUCUCUUGGCUCUGGCAUCGAUGAAGAACGCAGCGAAAUGCGAUAAGUAAUGUGAAUUGCAGAAUUCAGUGAAUCAUCGAAUCUUUGAACGCACAUUGCGCCCGCCAGUAUUCUGGCGGGCAUGCCUGUUCGAGCGUCAUUACAACCCUCAGGCCCCCGGGCCUGGCGUUGGGGAUCGGCGGAAGCCCCCUGCGGGCACAACGCCGUCCCCCAAAUACAGUGGCGGUCCCGCCGCAGCUUCCAUUGCGUAGUAGCUAACACCUCGCAACUGGAGAGCGGCGCGGCCACGCCGUAAAACACCCAGCUUCUGAAUGUUGACCUCGAAUCAGGUAGGAAUACCCGCUGAACUUAAGCAUAUCAAUAAGCGGAGGAAAAGAAACCAACAGGGAUUGCCCCAGUAACGGCGAGUGAAGCGGCAACAGCUCAAAUUUGAAAUCUGGCUCUCGGGCCCGAGUUGUAAUUUGUAGAGGAUGCUUUUGGUGAGGUGCCUUCCGAGUUCCCUGGAACGGGACGCCAUAGAGGGUGAGAGCCCCGUCUGGUUGGACACCGAUCCUCUGUAAAGCUCCUUCGACGAGUCGAGUAGUUUGGGAAUGCUGCUCUAAAUGGGAGGUAUAUGUCUUCUAAAGCUAAAUACCGGCCAGAGACCGAUAGCGCACAAGUAGAGUGAUCGAAAGAUGAAAAGAACUUUGAAAAGAGAGUUAAAAAGUACGUGAAAUUGUUGAAAGGGAAGCGCUUGUGACCAGACUUGGGCUUGGUUGAUCAUCCGGGGUUCUCCCCGGUGCACUCUUCCGGCUCAGGCCAGCAUCAGUUCGCCCUGGGGGAUAAAGGCUUCGGGAAUGUGGCUCUCUCCGGGGAGUGUUAUAGCCCGCUGCGUAAUACCCUGUGGCGGACUGAGGUUCGCGCAUUCGCAAGGAUGCUGGCGUAAUGGUCAUCAGUGACCCGUCUUGAAACACGGACC